rnacentral:rRNA from 1 species
CAGUAGCCGCGGUAAUACAGAGGGUGAGAGCGUUAAUCGGAUUUACUGGGCGUAAAGCGUGCGUAGGCGGCUUUUUAAGUCGGAUGUGAAAUCCCUGAGCUUAACUUAGGAAUUGCAUUCGAUACUGGGAAGCUAGAGUAUGGGAGAGGAUGGUAGAAUUCCAGGUGUAGCGGUGAAAUGCGUAGAGAUCUGGAGGAAUACCGAUGGCGAAGGCAGCCAUCUGGCCUAAUACUGACGCUGAGGUACGAAAGCAUGGGGAGCAAACAGGAUUAGAUACCCGUGUAGUCCCUGUCUCUUAUAC